rnacentral:rRNA from 1 species
GGGUUGUGAGGUUAAGCGACUAAGCGUACACGGUGGAUGCCCUGGCAGUCAGAGGCGAUGAAGGACGUGCUAAUCUGCGAUAAGCGUCGGUAAGGUGAUAUGAACCGUUAUAACCGGCGAUUUCCGAAUGGGGAAACCCAGUGUGUUUCGACACACUAUCAUUAACUGAAUCCAUAGGUUAAUGAGGCGAACCGGGGGAACUGAAACAUCUAAGUACCCCGAGGAAAAGAAAUCAACCGAGAUUCCCCCAGUAGCGGCGAGCGAACGGGGAGCAGCCCAGAGUCUGAAUCAGUGUGUGUGUUAGUGGAAGUGUCUGGAAAGGCGCGCGAUACAGGGUGACAGCCCCGUACACAAAAAUGCACAUGCUGUGAGCUCGAUGAGUAGGGCGGGACACGUGGUAUCCUGUCUGAAUAUGGGGGGACCAUCCUCCAAGGCUAAAUACUCCUGACUGACCGAUAGUGAACCAGUACCGUGAGGGAAAGGCGAAAAGAACCCCGGCGAGGGGAGUGAAAAAGAACCUGAAACCGUGUACGUACAAGCAGUGGGAGCCCUGAUUUAUCAGGGUGACUGCGUACCUUUUGUAUAAUGGGUCAGCGACUUAUAUUCUGUAGCAAGGUUAACCGAAUAGGGGAGCCGGAGGGAAACCGAGUCUUAACUGGGCGUUAAGUUGCAGGGUAUAGACCCGAAACCCGGUGAUCUAGCCAUGGGCAGGUUGAAGGUUGGGUAACACUAACUGGAGGACCGAACCGACUAAUGUUGAAAAAUUAGCGGAUGACUUGUGGCUGGGGGUGAAAGGCCAAUCAAACCGGGAGAUAGCUGGUUCUCCCCGAAAGCUAUUUAGGUAGCGCCUCGUGAAUUCAUCUCCGGGGGUAGAGCACUGUUUCGGCAAGGGGGUCAUCCCGACUUACCAACCCGAUGCAAACUGCGAAUACCGGAGAAUGUUAUCACGGGAGACACACGGCGGGUGCUAACGUCCGUCGUGAAGAGGGAAACAACCCAGACCGCCAGCUAAGGUCCCAAAGUCAUGGUUAAGUGGGAAACGAUGUGGGAAGGCCCAGACAGCCAGGAUGUUGGCUUAGAAGCAGCCAUCAUUUAAAGAAAGCGUAAUAGCUCACUGGUCGAGUCGGCCUGCGCGGAAGAUGUAACGGGGCUAAACCAUGCACCGAAGCUGCGGCAGCGACACUGUGUGUUGUUGGGUAGGGGAGCGUUCUGUAAGCCUGUGAAGGUGUGCUGUGAGGCAUGCUGGAGGUAUCAGAAGUGCGAAUGCUGACAUAAGUAACGAUAAAGCGGGUGAAAAGCCCGCUCGCCGGAAGACCAAGGGUUCCUGUCCAACGUUAAUCGGGGCAGGGUGAGUCGACCCCUAAGGCGAGGCCGAAAGGCGUAGUCGAUGGGAAACAGGUUAAUAUUCCUGUACUUGGUGUUACUGCGAAGGGGGGACGGAGAAGGCUAUGUUGGCCGGGCGACGGUUGUCCCGGUUUAAGCGUGUAGGCUGGUUUUCCAGGCAAAUCCGGAGAAUCAAGGCUGAGGCGUGAUGACGAGGCACUACGGUGCUGAAGCAACAAAUGCCCUGCUUCCAGGAAAAGCCUCUAAGCAUCAGGUAACAUCAAAUCGUACCCCAAACCGACACAGGUGGUCAGGUAGAGAAUACCAAGGCGCUUGAGAGAACUCGGGUGAAGGAACUAGGCAAAAUGGUGCCGUAACUUCGGGAGAAGGCACGCUGAUACGUAGGUGAAAUCCCUCGCGGAUGGAGCUGAAAUCAGUCGAAGAUACCAGCUGGCUGCAACUGUUUAUUAAAAACACAGCACUGUGCAAACACGAAAGUGGACGUAUACGGUGUGACGCCUGCCCGGUGCCGGAAGGUUAAUUGAUGGGGUCAGCGCAAGCGAAGCUCUUGAUCGAAGCCCCGGUAAACGGCGGCCGUAACUAUAACGGUCCUAAGGUAGCGAAAUUCCUUGUCGGGUAAGUUCCGACCUGCACGAAUGGCGUAAUGAUGGCCAGGCUGUCUCCACCCGAGACUCAGUGAAAUUGAACUCGCUGUGAAGAUGCAGUGUACCCGCGGCAAGACGGAAAGACCCCGUGAACCUUUACUAUAGCUUGACACUGAACACUGGUCCUUGAUGUGUAGGAUAGGUGGGAGGCUUUGAAGUGUGGACGCCAGUCUGCAUGGAGCCGUCCUUGAAAUACCACCCUUUAAUGGCUGGUGUUCUAACGUUGGCCCCUUACCGGGGUUGCGGACAGUGUCUGGUGGGUAGUUUGACUGGGGCGGUCUCCUCCUAAAGAGUAACGGAGGAGCACGAAGGUUGGCUAAUCCUGGUCGGACAUCAGGAGGUUAGUGCAAUGGCAUAAGCCAGCUUGACUGCGAGCGUGACGGCGCGAGCAGGUGCGAAAGCAGGUCAUAGUGAUCCGGUGGUUCUGAAUGGAAGGGCCAUCGCUCAACGGAUAAAAGGUACUCCGGGGAUAACAGGCUGAUACCGCCCAAGAGUUCAUAUCGACGGCGGUGUUUGGCACCUCGAUGUCGGCUCAUCACAUCCUGGGGCUGAAGUAGGUCCCAAGGGUAUGGCUGUUCGCCAUUUAAAGUGGUACGCGAGCUGGGUUUAGAACGUCGUGAGACAGUUCGGUCCCUAUCUGCCGUGGGCGCUGGAGAACUGAGGGGGGCUGCUCCUAGUACGAGAGGACCGGAGUGGACGCAUCACUGGUGUUCGGGUUGUCAUGCCAAUGGCACUGCCCGGUAGCUAAAUGCGGAAGAGAUAAGUGCUGAAAGCAUCUAAGCACGAAACUUGCCCCGAGAUGAGUUCUCCCUGAGACUUAGAGUCUCCUGAAGGAACGUUGAAGACGACGACGUUGAUAGGCCGGGUGUGUAAGCGCAGCGAUGCGUUGAGCUAACCGGUACUAAUGAACCGUGAGGCUUAACCUUACAACGCCGAAGGUGUUU